AGAUUGAACGCUGGCGGCAUGCCUUACACAUGCAAGUCGAACGGCAGCGCGGGGCAACCUGGCGGCGAGUGGCGAACGGGUGAGUAAUAUAUCGGAACGUACCCUGGAGUGGGGGAUAACGUAGCGAAAGUUACGCUAAUACCGCAUACGAUCUAAGGAUGAAAGCAGGGGACCGCAAGGCCUUGUGCUCCUGGAGCGGCCGAUAUCUGAUUAGCUAGUUGGUGGGGUAAAGGCCUACCAAGGCAUCGAUCAGUAGCUGGUCUGAGAGGACGACCAGCCACACUGGAACUGAGACACGGUCCAGACUCCUACGGGAGGCAGCAGUGGGGAAUUUUGGACAAUGGGCGCAAGCCUGAUCCAGCAAUGCCGCGUGAGUGAAGAAGGCCUUCGGGUUGUAAAGCUCUUUUGUCAGGGAAGAAACGGUGAGGGCUAAUAUCCCUUGCUAAUGACGGUACCUGAAGAAUAAGCACCGGCUAACUACGUGCCAGCAGCCGCGGUAAUACGUAGGGUGCAAGCGUUAAUCGGAAUUACUGGGCGUAAAGCGUGCGCAGGCGGUUUUGUAAGUCUGUCGUGAAAUCCUCGGGCUCAACCUGAGAAUUGCGAUGGAGACUGCAAGGCUAGAAUCUGGCAGAGGGGGGUAGAAUUCCACGUGUAGCAGUGAAAUGCGUAGAGAUGUGGAGGAACACCGAUGGCGAAGGCAGCCCCCUGGGUCAAGAUUGACGCUCAUGCACGAAAGCGUGGGGAGCAAACAGGAUUAGAUACCCUGGUAGUCCACGCCCUAAACGAUGUCUACUAGUUGUCGGGUUUUAAUUGACUUGGUAACGCAGCUAACGCGUGAAGUUGACCGCCUGGGGAGUACGG
rnacentral:rRNA from 1 species